rnacentral:rRNA from 1 species
GACGAACGCUGGCGGCGUGCCUAACACAUGCAAGUCGAGCGGGGUUGAAGCGAGAGGUAACUCGAGCUUCUACCUAGCGGCGGACGGGUGAGUAACGCGUGGGCAACCUGCCUCAAGGUUUGGGAUAACAGCCCGAAAGGGCUGCUAAUACCGGAUAUGCCUAUGGCCUCGCAUGGGGCUAUGAGCAAAGGGGAAACCCGCCUUGAGAUGGGCCCGCGUCCCAUCAGCUAGUUGGUGAGGUAACAGCUCACCAAGGCGACGACGGGUAGCCGGCCUGAGAGGGUGACCGGCCACACUGGGACUGAGACACGGCCCAGACUCCUACGGGGGGCAGCAGUGGGGGAUCUUGCACAAUGGGCGAAAGCCUGAUGCAGCGACGCCGCGUGAGCGAAGAAGGCCUUCGGGUUGUAAAGCUCUGUCGUGGAGGGACGAACAAAAUGACGGUACCGUCCGGAGGAAGCCACGGCUAACGUACGUGCCAGCAGCCGCGGUAAUAUCACGUGUACG